rnacentral:tRNA from 1 species
AUUCUUUUAAUAUAUUCAGUAUAAUUGAUUUCCAAUCAAAAAGUCUUAAUUUAAGAAAGAAUA